UUGCAGCCCGGAUUGAAGCGGCAUCCCCGCAACGAAGUGGAGGGAUACAGCGGAAAGCCGGAAUUGCU
rnacentral:sRNA from 1 species